rnacentral:tRNA from 1 species
UCCUCGAUAGCUCAGUCGGUAGAGCAAUCGGCAACCGAUCGGUCGUAGGUUCGAGUCCUACUCGAGGAGCCA